rnacentral:rRNA from 1 species
CGAGCGCGAACGGGUGAGUAACGCGUGGAUUAUCUGCCCUGAGGUGGGGGAUAACCCGGGGAAACUCGGGCUAAUACCGCAUAUGACCGCGAGGUCAAAGGGGGGUCGCAAGAUCUCUCGCCAUAGGAGGAGUCCGCGUCCGAUUAGCUAGUUGGUAGGGUAAUGGCCUACCAAGGCGACGAUCGGUAGCCGGCCUGAGAGGGUGAUCGGCCACACUGGAACUGAGACACGGUCCAG